GAAAUGCGAUAAGUAGUGUGAAUUGCAGAAUUCAGUGAAUCAUCGAAUCUUUGAACGCACAUUGCGCCCUAUGGUAUUCCGUAGGGCAUGCCUGUUCGAGCGUCAUUUACACCUUCAAGCCUUGCUUGGUGUUGGGUGACUGUGGCCCCUUUGGGGCCACUCGCCUUAAAGUCAUUGGCGGCCGGUUCGUUGGCUUUGUAGCGCAGCACAAUUGCGUCCUCGAAGCCGCUGGACCGGCUCCCAGAAGCUAAUUUUAAAUGUUUGACCUCGAAUCAGGUAGGGAUACCCGCUGAACUUAAGC
rnacentral:misc_RNA from 1 species